GAUCUUUAUAUAAAAAAUAAUUAAAUAAAAAUUAGUUAAAUAUUAUUUUUUAAUUAUUUAUAUAUUAUAUUGGGGUAAUAAUAAAAUUUUAUAAAUUUUUAUUUUUUGUAAACAAUUAUAAUUGAAAUUUUGAUCCAUUAAUAUUGAUUAUAAAGUUAAGUUACCUUAGGGAUAACAGCGUAAUGAUUUUUGAGAGUUCUUAUCGAUA
rnacentral:rRNA from 1 species